rnacentral:rRNA from 1 species
AAUAGAUACCCGGGUAGUCCACGCCGUAAACGAUGAGUGCUAAGUGUUAGAGGGUUUCCGCCCUUUAGUGCUGCAGCUAACGCAUUAAGCACUCCGCCUGGGGAGUACGGUCGCAAGACUGAAACUCAAAGGAAUUGACGGGGGCCCGCACAAGCGGUGGAGCAUGUGGUUUAAUUCGAAGCAACGCGAAGAACCUUACCAGGUCUUGACAUCCCACUGACCGGUAUAGAGAUAUACCCUUUCCCUUCGGGGACGAGUGGUGACAGGUGGUGCAUGGUUGUCGUCAGCUCGUGUCGUGAGAUGUUGGGUUAAGUCCCGCAACGAGCGCAACCCUUGAUCUUAGUUGCCAGCAUUUAGUUGGGCACUCUAAGGUGACUGCCGGUGACAAACCGGAGGAAGGUGGGGAUGACGUCAAAUCAUCAUGCCCCUUAUGACCUGGGCUACACACGUGCUACAAUGGAUGGUACAAAGGGCUGCAAGACUGCGAAGUCAGGCCGAAUCCCNUAAAAACCGAUUCUCAGUUCGGAUUGUCAGG